rnacentral:rRNA from 1 species
GGGGUACCGAGCGGCGACGGGUGAGUAACACGUGAGUAAUCUGCCCUCCACUUUGGGAUAAGCCUCGGAAACGGGGUCUAAUACCGGAUACGACCAAUCUCUGCAUGGGGUGUUGGUGGAAAGUUUUUUCGGUGGGGGAUGUGCUCGCGGCCUAUCAGCUUGUUGGUGAGGUAAUGGCUCACCAAGGCUUCGACGGGUAGCCGGCCUGAGAGGGUGACCGGCCACACUGGGACUGAGACACGGCCCAGACUCCUACGGGAGGCAGCAGUGGGGAAUAUUGGACAAUGGGCGGAAGCCUGAUCCAGCAACGCCGCGUGAGGGAUGACUGCCUUCGGGUUGUAAACCUCUUUCAGCGGGGACGAAGCGCAAGUGACGGUACCCGCAGAAGAAGCACCGGCCAACUACGUGCCAGCAGCCGCGGUAAUACGUAGGGUGCGAGCGUUGUCCGGAAUUAUUGGGCGUAAAGGGCUCGUAGGCGGUUUGUCGCGUCGGGAGUGAAAACACCGGGCUUAACUCGGUGCUUGCUUUCGAUACGGGCAGACUAGAGGUAUUCAGGGGAGAACGGAAUUCCUGGUGUAGCGGUGAAAUGCGCAGAUAUCAGGAGGAACACCGGUGGCGAAAGCGGUUCUCUGGGAAUAUCCUGACGCUGAGGAGCGAAAGUGUGGGGAGCGAACAGGAUUAGAUACCCUGGUAGUCCACACCGUAAACGUUGGGCGCUAGGUGUGGGGUCCAUUUCCACGGAUUUCCGUGCCGCAGCUAACGCAUUAAGCGCCUCGCCUGGGGGAGUACGGCCGCAAGGCUAAAACUC